rnacentral:sRNA from 1 species
GCAUUUAGAGGAAGUAAAAGUCGUAACAAGGUUUCCGUAGGUGAACCUGCGGAAGGAUCAUUAUCGUACAACCGAGGAUGGGGCCCCGGCUGUCGGCUGACCCCCUUUCAAUGGGGGGGUCGUGCACGCCUUUGGGUGUGUCCUCAUCACAAUCAAAUCCAUCUCACCCUUUGUGCAUCACCGCGUGGGCUCCUUAAGGGGGCUCGCGUCUUUCACAAAAACACCUUUUUAAAUUCAGAAUGUCUUUUUUAUUUUGCGACAGUACGCAAUCAAUACAACUUUCAACAACGGAUCUCUUGGCUCUCGCAUCGAUGAAGAACGCAGCGAAAUGCGAUACGUAAUGUGAAUUGCAGAAUUCAGUGAAUCAUCGAAUCUUUGAACGCACCUUGCGCCCCUUGGCAUUCCGAGGGGCACACCCGUUUGAGUGUCGUGAAAUUCUCAACCCUCCCUCCUUUUCUUUUUGAAUGUGGGGGAAAGGCUUGGACUUUGGAGGCCUUUUGCUGGCCUCUUACUUUUGAAGCCAGCUCCUCUUAAACGCAUUAGCAGGGUCUAUUGCCGGAUCCCUAAGACGUGGAUAAGCUUUAUUCUAUGUCUCGGAGUUUUGCUCUGCCUGCUCCCAAUCGUCUCGUUAUUUAGAGACUUGACCUCAAAUCGGGUGAGACUACCCGCUGAACUUAAGCAUAUCAAUAAGCGGAGGAAAAGAAACUA